rnacentral:rRNA from 1 species
GUGGGGAAUAUUCCGCAAUGGACGAAAGUCUGACGGAGCAACGCCGCGUGAGUGAUGAAGGUUUUCGGACUGUAAAGCUCUGUUGUUUAGGACGAAAGUGCCUGUUGCGAAUAGUUACAGGUAUUGACGGUACUGAACGAGGAAGCCACGGCUAACUACGUGCCAGCAGCCGCGGUAAUACGUAGGUGGCAAGCGUUGUCCGGAAUUAUUGGGCGUAAAGAGCAUGUAGGCGGGAAUCUAAGUCUGUUGUGAAAAUGCGGGGCUCAACCCCGUAUUGCGAUGGAAACUGGGUUUCUUGAGUGCAGGAGAGGAAAGGGGAAUUCCCAGUGUAGCGGUGAAAUGCGUAGAUAUUGGGAGGAACACCAGUGGCGAAGGCGCCUUUCUGGACUGUGUCUGACGCUGAGAUGCGAAAGCCAGGGUAGCGAACGGGAUUAGAUACCCGGGUAGUCC